rnacentral:rRNA from 1 species
AGUGAACGCUGGCGGUAGGCCUAACACAUGCAAGUCGAACGGCAGCACAGUAAGAGCUUGCUCUUACGGGUGGCGAGUGGCGGACGGGUGAGGAAUACAUCGGAAUCUACUUUUUCGUGGGGGAUAACGUAGGGAAACUUACGCUAAUACCGCAUACGACCUACGGGUUAAAGCAGUGGAUCUUCGGACCUUGCGCGAUUGAAUGAGCCGAUGUCGGAUUAGCUAGUUGGCGUGGUAAAGGCCCACCAAGGCGACGAUCCGUAGCUGGUCUGAGAGGAUGAUCAGCCACACUGGAACUGAGACACGGUCCAGACUCCUACGGGAGGCAGCAGUGGGGAAUAUUGGACAAUGGGCGCAAGCCUGAUCCAGCCAUACCGCGUGGGUGAAGAAGGCCUUCGGGUUGUAAAGCCCUUUUGUUGGGAAAGAAAAGCAGCAGGUUAAUACCCCGCUGUUCUGACGGUACCCAAAGAAUAAGCACCGGCUAACUUCGUG